UACAGAGGGGGCAAGCGUUGUUCGGAAUUACUGGGCGUAAAGGGCGCGUAGGCGGCCAUCUAAGUCAGGCGUGAAAUCCCCCGGCUUAACCUGGGAACUGCGUCUGAUACUGGACUGCUUGAGUAUGGGAGAGGGAUGUAGAAUUCCAGGUGUAGCGGUGAAAUGCGUAGAUAUCUGGAGGAAUACCGGUGGCGAAGGCGGCAUCCUGGACCAGUACUGACGCUGAGGCGCGAAAGCUAGGGGAGCAAACGGG
rnacentral:rRNA from 1 species